UACAGAGGGGGCAAGCGUUGUUCGGAAUUACUGGGCGUAAAGGGCUCGUAGGUGGCCAACUAAGUCAGACGUGAAAUCCCCAGGCUCAACUUGGGAACUGCGUCUGAUACUGGAUGGCUUGAAUUCGGGAGAGGGAUGCAGAAUUCCAGGUGUAGCGGUGAAAUGCGUAGAUAUCAGGAGGAACACCAAUGGCGAAGGCAGCUCGCUGGGACGGUACUGACGCUGAGACGCGAAAGCGUGGGGAGCAAACAGG
rnacentral:rRNA from 1 species